rnacentral:rRNA from 1 species
ACGAACGCUGGCGGCGUGCUUAACACAUGCACGACGAACGGAAAGGCCCUGCUUUUGUGGGGUGCUCGAGUGGCGAACGGGUGAGUAACACGUGAGUAACCUGCCCUUGACUUUGGGAUAACUUCAGGAAACUGGGGCUAAUACCGGAUAGGAGCUCCUGCUGCAUGGUGGGGGUUGGAAAGUUUCGGCGGUUGGGGAUGGACUCGCGGCUUAUCAGCUUGUUGGUGGGGUAGUGGCUUACCAAGGCUUUGACGGGUAGCCGGCCUGAGAGGGUGACCGGCCACAUUGGGACUGAGAUACGGCCCAGACUCCUACGGGAGGCAGCAGUGGGGAAUAUUGCACAAUGGGCGGAAGCCUGAUGCAGCAACGCCGCGUGCGGGAUGACGGCCUUCGGGUUGUAAACCGCUUUCGCCUGUGACGAAGCGUGAGUGACGGUAAUGGGUAAAGAAGCACCGGCUAACUACGUG